rnacentral:rRNA from 1 species
GGGGGGGGGGGGGGGUGGGGGGGAGGGGGGGGGGGCGGGGGGGGGGACGGGAAGAGCUUGCUCUUACGGGUGGCGAGUGGCGGACGGGGGAGGAAUACAUCGGACUCUACUUUUUCGUGGGGGCUACCGUCGGGAAACUUACGCUACUACCGCAUACGCCCUACGGGUGCAAGCAGGGGCUCUUCGUCCCUUGGCCUAUUUACUGACCCCAUGUCGGAUUACCUAGGUGGCGGGGUAAAGGCCCACCAAGGCGACGAUCCGUACCUGGUCUGACAUGAGGAUCAGCCAGACUGGAACUGGGACACGGUCCAGACUCCGACGGGAGGCAGCAGUGGGGAAUAUUGGACAAUGGGCGCAAGCCUGAUCCAGCCAUACCGCGUGGGUGAAGAAGGCCUUCGGGUUGUAAAGCCCUUUUGUUGGGAAAGAAAAGCAGCAGGUUAAUACCCCGCUGUUCUGACGGUACCAAAAGAAUAAGCACCGGCUAACUUCGUG